GAUGAACGCUAGCGGCAGGCUUAAUACAUGCAAGUCGAGGGGCAGCGCAGUGUAGCAAUACAUGGGCGGCGACCGGCAAACGGGUGCGGAACACGUACAGAACCUUCCUUCGAGCGGGGAAUAGCCCAGAGAAAUUUGGAUUAAUACCCCAUAGUAUAUUGAUAAGGCAUCUUAUUAAUAUUAAAGAUUUAUCACUUGAAGAUGGCUGUGCGGCUGAUUAGGAGUUGGCGGGGUAACGGCCCACCAAGCCUUCGAUCAGUAACUGGUGUGAGAGCACGACCAGUCACACGGGCACUGAGACACGGGCCCGACUCCUACGGGAGGCAGCAGUAAGGAAUAUUGGUCAAUGGACGCAAGUCUGAACCAGCCAUGCCGCGUGGAGGAUGAAGGUCCUCUGGAUU
rnacentral:rRNA from 1 species